rnacentral:ncRNA from 1 species
UUCCGCGAAACCUAUGUGAGUAGGUAAUUUAAUUAACAUCUUAGCAGGUACAGAACUAGGAUCUCGGACAAUAUGUAAAUUUUGUGCACAUCGGGGGAUCGUGAUGAUUUUAUCGGAGAGUAUUUGCACUCGAAAGGGCAAAGAUGAAUAUUGAAUAAUCGGACAUAGUACGAUAAGGUUGUAUGUCUAAAGGGAAACAGCCCUGAACAAGAGUUAUAAGGUUCCAAAAUUAUUAUUAAGUGAAAUUAAGGAUGUACUUAUCAAAUACAACCAGGAAAUAGGCUUAGAAGCGGCCAUUUUUUGAAGACCUCGUAACAGAGCACUGGUUAAUAAAAAAUUUUUUUAGAUAGAUAUGUAUACCGAAAAUUUAACGGAUCUAAAUAAUAUACCGAAACCUUGUUCGUAUAUAUUAAUAUAUAAUAUUAUUUACUAGUUUAAAUAUAUAUAUAUAUAUAUAUGAGGUAGCGGAA